UUGUAUUGUCUAUUUCAUUGUAUAAUUAUGUAUAUUUAUAUUUAGAUUUAUAUUUAUACGAGCAUUUUGACUAUCAAGCGUUACCAAAUUGUAAUCGGAAAGAUGCUCUUGUUGUGAAACUUAUGCGGAAAACUCUUGGUUACAACACUAUCAAGGAUUGUCUCCAAAAAGUUUGGAAAAUGCAAGGAGGAUUUGAAAUCAUGGAUAAUAAUUUGAAAUCAUGGAUAAUAAUAACGGAUUCUACAUGGUGAAAAUCGACCUAACUGUAGCCAAAGAAAAAAUUAUCACCUGAGGGUCAUGGCUGAUUUUUUAUCACUACUUAGCAGUUUCUCACCGGUCUCCUUAGUUUGCAUCCUCUAAUGCAAAGGUUGACCCCUCAUUACGUUUUCCUAGUCUGAACUUAGUUUAUUAUGAUGAAAGUUUCAUGUUGGCAAUGGCUUCAGCAAUAGGAAGACCAAUUAAAGUAGACACCAAUACUUUGAAAAUUGAAAGAGGUAGAUUUUCUAAAGUCUAUGUCGAAGUAGACUUCAUUGUACUUGUUGUAGGAAAAAUUUGGGUCAAUGGACUCUGGUAUAAGGUCCAAUAUGAAGGCAUCCACCUUAUUUACAUAAAUUGUGGUUGUUAUGGCCCCCUUGGUCGGAAUUGUCCCCUCACCCAAACUGUGUCGGAAGCGGCAACAGAACCCCACAAUAGCCAAAAUUUGCGCCCCAGCCAAAAGUCAAACCUCAGUCAACACCCAAUUAUUCCUCAACAAGAAAAUUGCAGCGAAUCAUCUUAGAGGAGUUUUUAAAAUGAUAGUUGUUGUUAAUAGAUUUUAUAGCAAAGGUCAUGGGAACAUUUGAGGCUUGUUCUAUUUUACUCUUUAGAGAUGUGAUCUCUUCUUGUAACUUAGGACAUGCUUCAAAUGUAUCAAUAUCCUUAGGUUUAGACUUAGGUGUUAUUGAUACAAUUGACUUAGGUGACUCUUUUAUGGAAAUUGCAAAUUGCUUGUUCUAUAGAGAUGCAUACUCC
rnacentral:lncRNA from 1 species